rnacentral:rRNA from 1 species
GACGAACGCUGGCGGCGUGCUUAACACAUGCAAGUCGAACGGAAAGGCCCUGCUUUUGUGGGGUGCUCGAGUGGCGAACGGGUGAGUAACACGUGAGUAACCUGCCCUUGACUUUGGGAUAACUUCAGGAAACUGGGGCUAAUACCGGAUAGGAGCUCCUGCUGCAUGGUGGGGGUUGGAAAGUUUCGGCGGUUGGGGAUGGACUCGCGGCUUAUCAGCUUGUUGGUGGGGUAGUGGCUUACCAAGGCUUUGACGGGUAGCCGGCCUGAGAGGGUGACCGGCCACAUUGGGCCUGAGAUACGGCCCAGACUCCUACGGGAGGCAGCAGUGGGGAAUAUUGCACAAUGGGCGGAAGCCUGAUGCAGCAACGCCGCGUGCGGGAUGACAGCCUUCGGGUUGUAAACCGCUUUCGCCUGUGACGAAGCGUGAGUGACGGUAAUGGGUAAAGAAGCACCGGCUAACUACGUG